AUUGAACGCUGGCGGCAGGCCUAACACAUGCAAGUCGAGCGGAUGAAGGGAGCUUGCUCCUGGAUUCAGCGGCGGACGGGUGAGUAAUGCCUAGGAAUCUGCCUGGUAGUGGGGGAUAACGUCCGGAAACGGGCGCUAAUACCGCAUACGUCCUGAGGGAGAAAGUGGGGGAUCUUCGGACCUCACGCUAUCAGAUGAGCCUAGGUCGGAUUAGCUAGUUGGUGGGGUAAAGGCCUACCAAGGCGACGAUCCGUAACUGGUCUGAGAGGAUGAUCAGUCACACUGGAAGUGAGACACGGUCCAGACUCCUACGGGAGGCAGCAGUGGGGAAUAUUGGACAAUGGGCGGAAGCCUGAUCCAGCCAUGCCGCGUGUGUGAAGAAGGUCUUCGGAUUGUAAAGCACUUUAAGUUGGGAGGAAGGGCAGUAAGUUAAUACCUUGCUGUUUUGACGUUACCAACAGAAUAAGCACCGGCUAACUUCGUG
rnacentral:rRNA from 1 species